UACGUAGGGUGCGAGCGUUAAUCGGAAUUACUGGGCGUAAAGCGUGCGCAGGCGGUUCGUUGUGUCGGUGGUGAAAUCCCCGGGCUUAACCUGGGAAUGGCCAUGGAAACUGGCGAACUGGAGUGUGGCAGAGGGGGGUGGAAUUCCGCGUGUAGCAGUGAAAUGCGUAGAUAUCUGGAAGAACACCGGUGGCGCAAGCGGAUUGCUGGGCCAUAACUGACACUGAGGAACGAAAGCUAGGGGAGCGAAUGGG
rnacentral:rRNA from 1 species